GUGAAGCUGGAUUCGCUAGUAAUCGCGCAUCAGCCAUGGCGCGGUGAAUACGUUCCCGGGCCUUGUACACACCGCCCGUCAAGCCAUGGGAGCCGGGAGUGCCUGAAGUCCGUGACCGCGAGGAGCGGCCUAGGGUAAGACCGGUGACUGGGGCUAAGUCGUAACAAGGUAAC
rnacentral:rRNA from 1 species